GUAAUAAACUGGCAUUCAGUCUAAACAGCUAUCAUUGCAUAAUUGAUUAACUACUAUAAUUUAUGUCAUUUUAUUUUUUAAAUACUCAAAAUUACAUUUAGAUUUGCAUGUUUAAAUGUGAAAGACAAGGAAAGACUGAAGAACUGUCCUGCAUUGGAGGAGGCUGAGGAAAUAGGAUAACUAAAUCCUGCAUAGGAAUCUGCUUUGGAUCCCAAACAGCAAUCUCCCAGAUAGGGUUGUUCUGUCAACCGGGAUCACAAAAUGAAGAUAAGGUGAAGCAGAAUCACAGCUGAGCAACAGUGGGUAUGCCACAUGGGCAUGAAAUAGAUGUUUAUUGUUGUGUGCCCCUGAGGCCUGAGAGUCAUUUUCUAACGCAGCAUAAAGUAGCCUAUCCUGACUUAUACCGUAACUAUUGAAGGAUUCACUGAUACAAUCAUACCCAGUGCUCUUAAUUUAGGCAUGCCAAAGGUUCGGAUUUUAUUCACAACAAUCCCUGCCCAGCUGAUCUACAGCCUGGCCAUUCCCAAAUGCAGAGGCAACAACGCUCUACAGAAUUCACCUGCUCUUGUCUGAGAUUCCUUGUUAGUGACCUUUCUCUGAUUUUCCAACCCCAUCUUUCCUGAUCAUUCUUGAUCUUUCCUUCUAUGGGUUCUCUCAUAAUUGUGGAGGGCCUAAUCCCUAAUAUAUAUUCCUUAUUCUAUAACGCUCACUGGUUGUGGUUGCCCUUCCCUGAUAGGACCCUCACUGAUACAUAUCUUUAUGAAACAAAGAUACUGAUUCUUUAUAAAAGGAAGUCUUCCUUGAUAUUGACAGAUUAGAGCUUGAGGUGUUUGGCGUAAUGCCAGGACAUUAUGAUCACUUAGUCAUGUUCGGUUAUCAUCCUCAUCUUCAUCGUCGUCCUCUUCCCUCUUGAAAAAUUCA